GCCUUAGUAACGGCGAGUGAAGCGGCAACAGCUCAAAUUUGAAAUCUGGCCCUUGGGUCCGAAUUGUAAUUUGUAGAGGAUGAUUUUGGUGCGGUAUCUUCCGAGUUCCUUGGAACAGGACGCCUUAGAGGGUGAGAGCCCCGUACGGUUGAAUGCCUAGCCUCUGUAAAUCUCCUUCGACGAGUCGAGUAGUUUGGGAAUGCUGCUCUAAAUGGGAGGUAAAUUUCUUCUAAAGCUAAAUAUUGGCCAGAGACCGAUAGCGCACAAGUAGAGUGAUCGAAAGAUGAAAAGCACUUUGAAAAGAGGGUUAAAUAGCACGUGAAAUUGUUGAAAGGGAAGGAUUUGUGACCAGACUUUUUCUGGGCGGAUCAUCCGGGGUUCUCUCCGGUGCACUUCGCCCAGUAAAGGCCAGCAUCGGUUUUCGGCGUGGGAUAAAAGCAGUAGGAAUGUGGCUCUCUACGGGGAGUGUUAUAGCCUAUUGUAUAAUACCGCGCUGGGGACCGAGGUUCGCGCUUCUGCAAGGAUGCUGGCGUAAUGGUUAUCAAUCACCCGUCUUGAAACACGGACCAAGGAGUCGAACAUUUGUGCGAGUGUUUGGGUGUUAAACCCUCACGCGUAAUGAAAGUGAACGGAGGUGAGAGCCCUUACGGGUGCAUCAUCGACCGAUCCUGAAGUUUUCGGAUGGAUUUGAGUAAGAGCAUAACUGUUCGGACCCGAAAGAUGGUGAACUAUGCGUGGAUAGGGUGAAGCCAGAGGAAACUCUGGUGGAGGCUCGCAGCGGUUCUGACGUGCAAAUCGAUCGUCAAAUCUGCGCAUGGGGGCGAAAGACUAAUCGAACCAUCUAGUAGCUGGUUACCGCCGA
rnacentral:rRNA from 1 species